UACGGGGGGGGCAAGCGUUGUUCGGAAUUACUGGGCGUAAAGGGCUCGUAGGCGGUUUGUCGCGUCGGGAGUGAAAACCUUGGGCUUAACUCAGGGCUUGCUUUCGAUACGGGCAGACUAGAGGUAUGCAGGGGAGAACGGAAUUCCUGGUGUAGCGGUGAAAUGCGCAGAUAUCAGGAGGAACACCGGUGGCGAAGGCGGUUCUCUGGGCCUUACCUGACGCUGAGGAGCGAAAGCGUGGGGAGCAAACAGG
rnacentral:rRNA from 1 species